rnacentral:rRNA from 1 species
CGAAGGAUGCAAGUGUUAUCCGGAUUCAUUGGGUUUAAAGGGAGCGUAGGUGGGUUUGUAAGUCAGUGGUGAAAGCCGGUCGCUCAACGAUCGAAUUGCCAUUGAUACUGCAGACCUUGAGUACAGAUGCUGUGGGCGGAAUAUGACAUGUAGUGGUGAAAUACAUAGAGAUGUCAUAGAACACCGAUUGCGAAGGCAGCUCACAAAACUGUAACUGACACUGAGGCUCGAAAGUGCGGGGAUCAAACAGGAUUAGAUACCCUGGUAGUCCGCACUGUAAACGAUGAUUACUCGCUGCUGGGGGGCAACCUUCAGUGGCUGAGCGAAAGCGAUAAGUAAUCCACCUGGGGAGUACGCCGGCAACGGUG